GACGGGGGGGGGCAAGUGUUCUUCGGACUGACUGGGCGUAAAGGGCACGUAGGCGGUGAAUCGGGUUGAAAGUGAAAGUCGCCAAAAAGUGGCGGAAUGCUCUCGAAACCAAUUCACUUGAGUGAGACAGAGGAGAGUGGAAUUUCAUGUGUAGGGGUGAAAUCCGUAGAUCUACGAAGGAACGCCAAAAGCGAAGGCAGCUCUCUGGGUCCCUACCGACGCUGGGGUGCAAAAGCAUGGGGAGCGAACAGG
rnacentral:rRNA from 1 species